AUGAAGCCCUUCGGGGUGUAAAGCUCAUUCGGCAGGGAAGAUGAUGACGGUACCUGCAGAAGCAGCUGCGGACUAAACUACGUGCCAGCAGCCGCGGUAAUACGUAGGCAGCGAGCGUUGUUCGGAGUUACUGGGCGUAAAGGGUGUGUAGGCGGUUGCUUAAGUUUGGUGUGAAAUCUCCCGGCUCGACUGGGAGGGUGCGCCGAAUACUGAGUGACUAGAGUGCGGGAGAGGAAAGUGGAAUUCCUGGUGUAGCGGUGAAAUGCGUAGAUAUCAGGAGGAACACCGGUGGUGUAGACGGCUUUCUGGACCGUAACUGACGCUGAGACACGAAAGCGUGGGUAGCAAACAGGAUUAGAUACCCUGGUAGUCCACGCCCUAAACGAUGCAUAUUUGGUGUGGGCAGUUCAUUCUGUCCGUGCCGGAGCUAACGCGUUAAAUAUGCCGCCUGGGGAGUACAGUCGCAAGGCUGAAAC
rnacentral:rRNA from 1 species